rnacentral:miRNA from 1 species
UAACUUCUCAUUAUGCCUUCUGGAGUUAUCCCAUACGCUCUGGGCGUGGUGAGAAGUUCACC